CACGUAGGGCGCGAGCGUUGUCCGGAAUUAUUGGGCGUAAAGAGCUCGUAGGCGGCCUGUUGCGUCCGCUGUGAAAGCCCGGGGCUAACCCCGGGUCGGCAGUGGAUACGGGCAGGCUAGAGGUAGGUAGGGGAGAAUGGAAUUCCCGGUGGUAGCGGUGAAAUGCGCAGAUAUCGGGAGGAACACCGGUGGCGAAGGCGGUUCUCUGGGCCUUACCUGACGCUGAGGAGCGAAAGCGUGGGGAGCGAACAGG
rnacentral:rRNA from 1 species